GGUUCUUUUACUAGGGAAUCACCUUAAAGCGCUAAUGAGCUCAUACAUUCUUUGUAAAAUUUUGACUUUUGGAAACAAAAGGAAGGUGUUAAUGCGACCUACCAGGCUUUGCAUGAGGUGUUAUUGCAUCCAUUGAUAUACCGCCAAGACAUUGCAGAGAAGUUCUUUUUUUACUGAUAAUAUAAUGGUAAUUAUAAUUAUUUUCUUUCAUAUUAAAUGUGUGUGCAGUGAUUUCAUGGUUUUAAAUUCGCUGGAGUCUGGAUCAAGCAUUCUGAGUAUGAGCCCUGCAAGGAGUCAUUGUGUCAUGUUCUUAGGCAACACAUUUUACUCCGGCUCACAGUACCUCUUUCCACCCAUGAACACUAGGAACUGUUGCAGAGGUAAUCAAGACGAUAGGUGGAGAUCUACUGGCUAGCACAAAACUUUGUUGUAUUUGUAUUUGGAUAAAGGAGAAAUAGAUCGUCAAUACAAAGUUUUAAUUUUUUUAGUUAUACAUUUACUUGUGAAGGUGUGAACCAAUAGCAUAAUCGGAUGGCUUUGUUUCUUUCGUGUUACAAAAAUAUGGUAAUUGAGCAAUUUCAUAUGGCUUGAGCGAGUUUACUUUUUUAAAUGAAAGGUUAUGAAAAUUGCCUGUUUUAGCUCCGCUGGAAGAUAAAGGUUGUGGGAUCAUUAUUAACUUCAAAUCGUGUAGGAAAAUUGUGCCAUCAUUGUAAUUAAAUUUUGAGUUCUACCUGUUAUCCAGUGAAUAAAUGUUAUCAUUUAACGCU